rnacentral:rRNA from 1 species
AAAUUGAAGAGUUUGAUCAUGGCUCAGAUUGAACGCUGGCGGCAGGCCUAACACAUGCAAGUCGAACGGUAACAGGAAACAGCUUGCUGUUUCGCUGACGAGUGGCGGACGGGUGAGUAAUGUCUGGGAAACUGCCUGAUGGAGGGGGAUAACUACUGGAAACGGUAGCUAAUACCGCAUAACGUCGCAAGACCAAAGAGGGGGACCUUCGGGCCUCUUGCCAUCGGAUGUGCCCAGAUGGGAUUAGCUUGUUGGUGGGGUAACGGCUCACCAAGGCGACGAUCCCUAGCUGGUCUGAGAGGAUGACCAGCCACACUGGAACUGAGACACGGUCCAGACUCCUACGGGAGGCAGCAGUGGGGAAUAUUGCACAAUGGGCGCAAGCCUGAUGCAGCCAUGCCGCGUGUAUGAAGAAGGCCUUCGGGUUGUAAAGUACUUUCAGCGGGGAGGAAGGGAGUAAAGUUAAUACCUUUGC